rnacentral:rRNA from 1 species
GAUGAACGCUAGCGGCAGGCUUAAUACAUGCAAGUUGAGGGGCAGCAUGAUAUACGCGAGUAUAUUGAUGGCGACCGGCGGACGGGUGAGUAAUAGGUAGGAGACCUACCUCAUACAGGGGGAUAGCAUAGAGAAAUCUGUGGUAAUACCCCAUGAGGUUAUAUGAAUAGAGGCAUAUAAUCAAAGCAUAAGCGAUUAUGCGGUAUGAGAGGGGCCUACUGACCAUUAGCUAGUUGGUGAGGUAAGGGCUCACCAAGGCGAAGAUGGUUAGGGGUUUUGAGAGAGAGACCCCCCACAUUGGAACUGAGAGACGGUCCAGACUCCUACGGGAGGCAGCAGUAGGGAAUAUUGGGCAAUGGGCGAAAGCCUGACCCAGCCAUGCCGCGUGAAGGAAGACGGCCUUAUGGGUUUAAACUUCUUUACUACGCGAAUAGAGGUUAGUACGAGAUACUAAUAGGAAGGUUAGUGUAGUAAAAGCACCGGCUAACUCCGUG